AAUUAACUAAGCCCAAUGAAAAUAUCUAUUAUAACUAGCCUAACAAUCCACUUAAAUUAGAUAACAUACUGAGUUAAUCACGAAUCGUGGCAUUUCAAACUACAGCCUACUGUCUAAUUUCAGAAUUUUAAAACAAGUUUAGACAACCAAUUCAAUUUAAAAGUCCAUUUGUUCAUACAGUCCCAUUUCAGUCCAAAAUAUACAACAAACUCUGUUCGAAUCUAGUUCAAAUGAUUACCCGAACUAAUUUUAUCCUACACAAUUAAGCUGAUGUCUAAGUCCAAUUACAGUCAACGAAUUACUACAAAAAACACAACAGAGGACAUUUCAAAUAUAGCAAAGCUAACUGGAGUAGUGAAUUUACAACAAUAGAACCAAUCUUAAUUUAUUUCAUGUUCUAAUCAUGUGAACCUACGGCCAUGAGAUCUCGAGUCGUGUACCUGGAUAUGAAGAUUCAAAGAAGAAGAAAAGAUCAGCAGUAGUGGAUAACAGGCAACAACACUUUGAGAUAACCAAACAGCAACAAAUACACAGCCUAGAAAAUCGAAGUAUAGCCCAGAAAGAAGUUUGAAAAUCAGACGAAGUGAUGGAUAAACUUGAAUCAACUUCAAAACAGACCAAAUAACCUUGAAAAUCACUCAGAAUGAACUCAACACUUUCGACCAGACCCAAGAUCAAUCAAACUUAGCUUAAUUAAACCUAAUCUCAUGCGAAACCAUCUCAAAUUUCUCUGAAACCACAGCCUAUCCGAUUUUAAACUAGGAAACUGGAAAUUGAACUGAAAAUUCCAAUGGAAUAAUAACUAUUUUUUUUGGUUUUUCUAUUAGAUUUUCUGUUGUUUUUGUUUUUUUUUUUGGAAUUUUUGAAUAUUUUGAACUUCAAGUUCAGAUCUGAAAAAUCAGAGAGGAGCUUCCUUGGGGAAUUUUUCAGGGGUCCCCUUCAAUGAAGGCAUUGGGGUUGCCUUUUAUAGUCCGCAAAUAGGGUAGAAUGUUCUAGAUGGCACUCACACAUUUUUCCUCUUUUAAUUUCAGAUUUCCCCUAUUAGUCCUUCAAUUUCUGUCUUGUUUCUCAAGUUACUGCCCUAAGUUUACUGAAAUCUACACUAAAGUCUUAUUCUAGAAGGUCCUAGGGUGUUCUUUUACCUAUACAAUACCUAUACUACCCUUAUCUUAGUUUUGAAAUUACUAUUCUUAAUACAACUACCCUUUUCCAUGCCUAAACUACCCUUAUUUCCUCCCUGAAAUUACUACCCAAACAAGCUAAGCUUCAAACCCCUAACUAACUGACUCAAACCCUCUGUUAGCCUAACUACAAAUCAAUUAUAGUCUCCCAAAGAGUCCAAUUCAGCCUUAAUCAGACCAAAACAAACUAAACUAAUUAGAACUAGUUAGACGACUAAUCAAACUGAAGCCAAACAUGAACUAAAAUAACCGAACAACAAUCAGCAAAACCUUUGAACACCAAAUCAAAAACACAUAAGGACCCAAAAUAGAAUUAAUCUCGAAUAAAGAAUUAAUAUAGAGAUUGAAAACAGAGUUGACUAAAAAAAAUGUGUAAUCACAAUUAUUCCUAACAUUUAUUAUAACAGAAAUAAAACGACAAUUGAAUUAUUAAGCUAGACUAAAAAUAGAAUUACCCAGAAACUUAAAGCAAGAUUUAAUUAAACUAUCAAGAACCACAACUCAUGAAACCAACAAAAAAAAUGAUAAAAAACAAAAGAAACACUCACUGAGUUCGGACCCCAUAAGGCCGCCUUGUCGAAAUUGAUUUCCCGUUGAUGUUAUUUGCCUAAUUCAUCAGAAAUAGGCAUAUAGCAUUAACCAAACAUCAAGUGACUUUGAAACCUCCCAAAACAGGCUCGACCCAUGAACCCUAGAUCCGCAAUUCGUUGAGUUUCACUAAGAUUUGAGGGAUUUUGGUUGGGGAUUAGGGGUGAGGGGGUCUGAGGAUUGUGCGAUGUAAAUUUGGGCCGGUUUGGAUGUAAAUUGUG
rnacentral:lncRNA from 1 species